GACGAACGCUGGCGGCGUGCUUAACACAUGCAAGUCGAACGGAAAGGCCCUGCUUUUGUGGGGUGCUCGAGUGGCGAACGGGUGAGUAACACGUGAGUAACCUGCCCUUGACUUUGGGAUAACUUCAGGAAACUGGGGCUAAUACCGGAUAGGAGCUCCUGCUGCAUGGGGGGGGUUGGAAAGUUUCGGCGGUUGGGGAUGGACUCGCGGCUUAUCAGCUUGUUGGUGGGGUAGUGGCUUACCAAGGCUUUGACGGGUAGCCGGCCUGAGAGGGCGACCGGCCACAUUGGGACUGAGAUACGGCCCAGACUCCUACGGGAGGCAGCAGUGGGGAAUAUUGCACAAUGGGCGGACGCCUGAUGCAGCAACGCCGCGUGCGGGAUGACGGCCUUCGGGUUGUAAACCGCUUUCGCCUGUGACGAAGCGUGAGUGACGGUAAUGGGUAAAGAAGCACCGGCUAACUACGUG
rnacentral:rRNA from 1 species